rnacentral:rRNA from 1 species
UACGUAGGCAGCAAGCGUUGUUCGGAGUUACUGGGCGUAAAGCGUGCGUAGGCGGUUUCUUAAGUCUGCUGUGAAAGCCCUGGGCUCAACCUGGGAAUGGCGGUGGAUACUGAGAAGCUGGAGUACGGUAGAGGAAGGUGGAAUUCCCGGUGUAGCGGUGAAAUGCGUAGAGAUGUGGAGGAACACCAAUGGCGAAGGCAGCCUUCUGGGCCAACACUGACGCUCAUGCACGAAAAGCGUGGGGGAGCAAACAGG